rnacentral:rRNA from 1 species
CAAUAGCGUAUAUUAAAGUUGUUGCAGUUAAAAAGCUCGUAGUUGAAUUUCUGGCGGGCGCGCCGGUCUUCCAAGUGUUGUACUGGGCGCAGUCCGCCAUCCUUGUGGAGAGGGCUCGCAUUGAGUUGCGUGUCGGAUCUGCAUCAUUUACUGUGAAAAAAUUAGAGUGUUUAAAGCAGGCUGUCGCUUGAAUACAUUAGCAUGGAAUAAUAAGAUAGGACUUCGGUCUAUUUUGUUGGUUGCGAACCGAGGUAAUGAUUAAUAGGGAUAGUUGGGGGUAUUCAUAUUUAAUUGUCAGAGGUGAAAUUCUUGGAUUUACGCAAGACAAACAGCUGCGAAAGCGUCUGCCAAGGAUGUUUUCAUUAA